AGCGAACGCUGGCGGCAGGCCUAAUACAUGCAAGUCGAACGGAUCCUUCGGGAUUAGUGGCGGACGGGUGAGUAACACGUGGGAACGUGCCCUUUGGUUCGGAACAACUCAGGGAAACUUGAGCUAAUACCGGAUAAGCCCUUCGGGGAAGAUUAUCGCCAUGGAGCGGCCCGCGUCUGAUUAGCUAGUUGGUGGGGUAAAGGACCUACCAAGGCGGACGAUCAGUAGCUGGUCUGAGAGGAUGAUCAGCCACACUGGGACUGAGACACGGCCCAGACUCCUACGGGAGGCAGCAGUAGGGAAGUCUUGCGCAAUGGGCGAAAGCCUGACGCAGCCAUGCCGCGU
rnacentral:rRNA from 1 species